rnacentral:rRNA from 1 species
GUAGGGUGCAAGCGUUAAUCGGAAUUACUGGGCGUAAAGCGUGCGCAGGCGGUUUUGUAAGUCUGUCGUGAAAGCCCCGGGCUCAACCUGGGAAUUGCGAUGGAGACUGCAAGGCUUGAAUCUGGCAGAGGGGGGUAGAAUUCCACGUGUAGCAGUGAAAUGCGUAGAGAUGUGGAGGAACACCGAUGGCGAAGGCAGCCCCCUGGGUCAAGAUUGACGCUCAUGCACGAAAGCGUGGGGGGAGCAAACAGGAUUAGAUACCCUGGUAGUCCACGCCCCUAAACGAUGUCUACUAGUUGUCGGGUUUUAAUUAACUUGGUAACGCAGCUAACGCGUGAAGUAGACCGCCUGGGGAUACGGUCGCAAGAUUA